GACGAACGCUGGCGGCGUGCCUAAUACAUGCAGGUUGAGCGCUGAAGGUUGGUACUUGUACCAACUGGAUGAGCAGCGAACGGGUGAGUAACGCGUGGGGAAUCUGCCUUUGAGCGGGGGACAACAUUUGGAAACGAAUGCUAAUACCGCAUAAAAACUUUAAACACAAGUUUUAAGUUUGAAAGAUGCAAUUACAUCACUCAAAGAUGAUCCCGCGUUGUAUUAGCUAGUUGGUGAGGUAAAGGCUCACCAAGGCGAUGAUACAUAGCCGACCUGAGAGGGUGGUCGGCCACCUUGGGACUGAGACACGGCCCAAACUCCUACGGGAGGCAGCAGUAGGGAAUCUUCGGCAAUGGACGAAAGUCUGACCGAGCAACGCCGCGUGAGUGAAGAAGGUUUUCGGAUCGUAAAACUCUGUUGGUAGAGAAGAACGUUGGUGAGAGUGGAAAGCUCAUCAAGUGACGUUAACUACCCAGAAAGGGACGGCUAACUACGUG
rnacentral:rRNA from 1 species